rnacentral:rRNA from 1 species
AUUGAACGCUGGCGGCAUGCUUUACACAUGCAAGUCGAACGGCAGCGCGGGCUUCGGCCUGGCGGCGAGUGGCGAACGGGUGAGUAAUACAUCGGAACGUGCCCAGUAUUGGGGGAUAGCUCGGCGAAAGCCGGAUUAAUACCGCAUACGACCUGAUGUUGAAAGCGGGGGUUCUUCGGACCUCGCGCUUUUUGCUGGGCCGAUGGCAGAUUAGCUAGUUGGUGGGGUAAAGGCCUACCAAGGCGACGAUCUGUAGCUGGUCUGAGAGGACGACCAGCCACACUGGGACUGAGACACGGCCCAGACUCCUACGGGAGGCAGCAGUGGGGAAUUUUGGACAAUGGGCGAAAGCCUGAUGCAGCAAUGCCGCGUGUGUGAUGAAGGCCUUCGGGUUGUAAAGCACUUUUGGCGGGAACGAAAAGGACUGUGCCAAUACCACGGUUCGAUGACGGUACCCGCAGAAUAAGCACCGGCUAACUACGUG